UAUUUGUUUGCUUAAAAUUAAUCACUCGCUUUUAUUUUAUUAUAUGCAAAGAGGUAGUUAAUUAAACCUAUUUUUAGAUUUCUAUAUUUUUUGUAAGUGAAUGUGAGAGAGGGCGUAUUUCAUAAAUAUAAAAAUUGAAAUAAAAAUAAAAAUGAAACAAACCACAAGCAUGAGUAAGGUUUUGAACAUUUUGAAAUUGUUUUAAAAACAUUAAAAAUAAUAAUAAAAUUAUAAAUUUGAGCAAAAUCCAAGACUUCAACAUUAAACCAAGUGAGAAGAACAGGGAAAGUUGGGGAUGGAAUGAGGAGGCUAGGAUGUGGGUGGCAAG
rnacentral:lncRNA from 1 species